AUAAAUUAGCAUGUGUUGAGUUCAUUAUGAAAUGCGUUAGCAAGAGUAAUGGCUUCAAAGAAAUGCUCACUUAUUUUUGUUGUUCUGGUUUUUUGUAUGUUGAGUUUUUCAUCAAAUAUAUUAGCAAGGAACAUUGCUGAUGCUUCAGAGCUUUAUGCAUUUUCUGAUGAAAAGAGUAUGAACAAGAGACUUCUUCUGCAACAAAAACGACUACCUCCAUGCAAGAGUAGAAGAAAUCAAGAGGAAAGAGAUAAUCCUGGUUGCCACAAUUAUUAAUGAAUAAUUGUAACGUGGAAAGAAAAAUAAAAUAAAGAGAUGUAUUAUUAAAUGUGAUUGUUUAGUUUGAUUUUCCUUCAUGCAAUUUCAAAGAAUAAAAUUUGUAAAACAAAUUGAUAAUAAAAGUUUUGUCAAUUAUUUUCUAUGGUAAUAAAUUACUUUGAUGGUAA